rnacentral:rRNA from 1 species
CCUACGGGUGGCUGCAGUGAGGAAUAUUGGUCAAUGGGCGAGAGCCUGAACCAGCCAAGUCGCGUGAAGGAUGACGGUCCUAUGGGUUGUAAACCUCUUUUGUCAGGGAGCAAUUCGGUGCACGCGUGGGCUUAGCGAGAGUACCCGAAGAAUAAGCAUCGGCUAACUCCGUGCCAGCAGCCGCGGUAAUACGUAGGGUGCAAGCGUUGUCCGGAUUUACUGGGUGUAAAGGGUGCGUAGCCGGGUUGACUAGUCAGGUGUGAAAUCCUGCGGCUUAACCGCAGGACGGCAUUUGAAACUGGUGAUCUUGAGUACUGGAGAGGCAGAUGGAAUGCGUGGUGUAGCGGUGAAAUGCGUAGAUAUUAGGAGGAACACCAGUGGCGAAGGCAGUCUACUGGACAGCAACUGACGGUGAGGCACGAAAGCGUGGGGAGCGAACAGGAUUAGAUACCCGGGUAGUC